rnacentral:rRNA from 1 species
ACGAACGCUGGCGGCGUGCUUAACACAUGCAAGUCGAACGGAAAGGCCUCUUCGGAGGUACUCGAGUGGCGAACGGGUGAGUAACACGUGGGUAAUCUGCCCUGCACUUCGGGAUAAGCCUGGGAAACUGGGUCUAAUACUGAAUAUGACCACGAGGCGCAUGUCUUGUGGUGGAAAGCUUUUGCGGUGUGGGAUGGGCCCGCGGCCUAUCAGCUUGUUGGUGGGGUGACGGCCUACCAAGGCGACGACGGGUAGCCGGCCUGAGAGGGUGUCCGGCCACACUGGGACUGAGAUACGGCCCAGACUCCUACGGGAGGCAGCAGUGGGGAAUAUUGCACAAUGGGCGCAAGCCUGAUGCAGCGACGCCGCGUGGGGGAUGACGGCCUUCGGGUUGUAAACCUCUUUCAGCAGGGACGAAGCGCAAGUGACGGUACCUGCAGAAGAAGCACCGGCCAACUACG